ensembl:lncRNA
GGAGGGACAGGAAGAGGAAGAAAAGGAGAAGCAGUGAGCAGUCGUCAGCCCACAUCUGAGGGAAAAAGACCUCAGAAUACCCUGAGGAAAUAAGAACCGCCCGCCCCCCAACUGCACACUGAGAGAUUACAGCCUGCACCCAGGAGGGGCUUCCCCACACUUAGAAAUUGCAAACGCAACCCCCAAGCCAUCUUGCUGCUGCUGCUGCUAAGUCUCUUCAGUCGUGUCCGACUCUGUGCGACCCAUAGACGGCAGCCCACCAAGCUUCCCGUCCCUGGGAUUCUCCAGGCAAGAACACUGGAAUUUUUAAAAAUAAUUUUAUUAGCAGAUUUGAUGCUCAGAGAAGACCUAACAGAGGUGGAGAUAUUUAAGCUAAGACCACAAGAAACGGGCACCCAUUUAUUUGAAGAUCAAGAGAGCAUCAGGGAUGAAAACCCCUAAGGCAAAGGAUUUGACUGUAGGAGGAAUGAACACACCUGUGGGCUAAUGUGCCAGGGAUGAAGCAGGGGGUAGAAGAAGAUCGGGGUGAGGGGGGCAGGGGCAUGGAAGGGCCUCAGGGAUGGAAGGGGUCUUGGUGCAAGGGUUACUGUGGACCAGGUCUGGACAGCCAGCUCCUGCAGUGCUGGGUCCUUGGCAGAUCCAGAGAAAUAAUGGUAACCACGGCUAUUAAUUGGUCAGGUGAACUUCGUGCUGUAUAAUACAAGUGAGUCUGCCAAACCUGCAAUGACCCAGCAAUCUACACCUACUCCCAUUUUAGUGUGAAAACGGAAACAGAGAGGGCUCACCAACGCCUCAUAGCAAGUCACUGGCAGACUUGGGGUUUGCAACAUUUUAUGACUUUCCUAGGCUGGAUUCCAUGGUGAACGGCAGAGGAGACGUGAGCUGGGCUGCGGUGGUGUUUCCUGCUUCCUUAGUUCUCUCUGCUCCCUCUGUCCACAGCCCCUGGAGAGGAGCUCCCACCCGGGCUCCCCUCUGCCCUCCUCUCUGACCCAACUCUGUCCCAGGAUGUCCUCAUCACACGUGGACCUGAAACUCAAUGGGUGUUGUCUGCGCCUCCAGUUGUUGGAGUAGAUCCCACCCCAGAGAGCCGUCCUCAGAGGGGCCAUUGUUGACCAGCUUACUUUGAAAUUCACUCCCUAACCAUUAAUCCCUCAUGGAUCACAGCCUUGUCCUGACAGAGGAAUUUGCAUUAACUCAAAGAAGCUGUGAACCAUGCUGGGCAGGGCCACCCAAGAUGGAUGGGUCAUAGUGAAGUUCUGACAAAUUGUGGCCCACUGGAGGAGGAAACUGGGAACCCACUCCAGUAUUCUUGCUGCAAGAACCCCAUGAACAAUAUGAAAAGGCAAAAAACUAUGACACUGGAAGAUGAACCCCCC